GAUGAAGAACGCAGCGAAAUGCGAUACUUGGUGUGAAUUGCAGAAUCCCGUGAACCAUCGAGUCUUUGAACGCAAGUUGCGCCCGAAGCCAUUAGGCCGAGGGCACGCCUGCCUGGGCGUCACACGUCGUUGCCCCCCCAUCUAAUCCUUCGGGAUUGCGGGGGGCGGAUGAUGGCCUCCCGUGCGCCUCGUCGCGCGGUUGGCCUAAAUGCCAAGUCCUCGGCGACGCACGCCACGACAAUCGGUGGUUGCGAAACCUCGGUUGCCUGUCGUGUGCGGUCGUCGCGCAUCGAGGGCUCGAAAAAAUUGCCGGGCUUCGGCUCGACUUUCAACGCGACCCCAGGUCAGGCGGGGUUACCCGCUGAAUUUAAGCAUAUCAAUAAGCGGAGGA
rnacentral:misc_RNA from 1 species